GACGAAGGGGGCAAGUGUUGUUCGGAAUUACUGGGCGUAAAGCGAGUGUAGGUGGUUGUCGUAGUCAGGCGUGAAAGCCUUGAGCUCAACUCAAGAAAUGCGCUUGAUACUGGGCAGCUAGAGGACCGGAGAGGAUAGUGGAAUUCCCAGUGUAGUGGUGAAAUACGUAGAGAUUGGGAAGAACACCAGUGGCGAAGGCGGCUAUCUGGACGGUUUCUGACACUAAGACUCGAAAGCGUGGGGAGCAAACAGG
rnacentral:rRNA from 1 species